rnacentral:rRNA from 1 species
ACGAACGCUGGCGGCAGGCCUCACACCUGCAAGUCGAGCGCGCCCUUCGGGGUGAGCGGCGGACGGGUGAGUAACGCGUGGGAACGUGCCCUUUUCUACGGAAUAGCCUCGGGAAACUGAGAGUAAUACCGUAUACGCCCUUUGGGGGAAAGAUUUAUCGGAAAAGGAUCGGCCCGCGUUGGAUUAGGUAGUUGGUGGGGUAAUGGCCUACCAAGCCGACGAUCCAUAGCUGGUUUGAGAGGAUGAUCAGCCACACUGGGACUGAGACACGGCCCAGACUCCUACGGGAGGCAGCAGUGGGGAAUCUUAGACAAUGGGGGCAACCCUGAUCUAGCCAUGCCGCGUGAGUGAUGAAGGCCUUAGGGUUGUAAAGCUCUUUCAGCUGGGAAGAUAAUGACGGUACCAGCAGAAGAAGCCCCGGCUAACUCCGUG